AAUAUAUUUAACUAAUAACAGAAUGUUAAAGAUCCUACUACCAGGGGAGGAAGGAGGACAUCUGCAGCAGUUUACCUGAAGUUAUGAUGAAGCUGCAGGUUGGGGGCCGAUGAUGUGGCUUGGCUCAUUGUGCCGAUAAUGUAAGGGCUGAAAGAAAAGAGAACACCGGUUAUUAUUAUUCUCAGCAGGCCAAUAUUGUGCAGAAGUGUGUGAGACUUUGGGUGACUCUGUAAAUGUGUGUGUGCGUGUGGACUGACCUGUGUUGGUAGUUGCAGUUGAAGACCCCAUUGAAGAUCUCUCCCAGCGAGCUGACAUGAUGCAGGUUGUCCAAAAUGACCACUAGAGGGCUCUCUGCACCUGCAACACCGCUGCACUGCUCAGCCAGACCUGACAGGUACUGACGCAACUCCUACAGAGAGAGAUGGAGAGAGAAAGAGAGAGAGUAAGAUGCUUUCAAUGCCAGUACGUUUUCAUUGCUCAUGAUAAAGACACUUGAGCAACAUCCAGUCUAACAAUCUAUCCAAAGGGACUUACUUAACAGAACUCUGGUAUGCUUACCUUGCUGGACUUGUGGUCCACGUUGAAAGUGACGACAGCGUGUGGGGUCACAGGUCGACCGUCCAGCAGCAGCAGGUGUCGAGACAGCUGAUUGGCCAGGUAGCCGCAGGGCAGCAGCUCGGGCGUCUGAGCAGCCCGGGGGCUGCUGGGCCGGUGGAUUUCUCCAAUGUUGUAUCCCUCCACGCUGUCUGAGCUCAGGCCCAGCUGGCUCACUGGGUCCACAUGGUCUGUUCAUGGUUACCUUGAAAAGGCGUCUAACCACUCCAUCCAGGACAUCCCACUUGGUUUUUCCGCUCACACCGAUGCAACCAAUGAGAAAAUGGCGAGUUCGACCCUCCUGUGACA